rnacentral:rRNA from 1 species
UGCCAGCAGCCGCGGUAACACGGGGGCCGCAAGCGUCAUUCGGAAUUACUAGGCGUAAAGGGCGCGCAGGCGGUCUUGUCAGUCAGGUGUGAAAUCCCAAGGCUCAACCUUGGAACUGCAUUUGAAACUGGGAGUCUAGAGAUCAGGAGAGGUUAGUGGAAUACCGAGUGUAGAGGUGAAAUUCGUAGAUAUUCGGUGGAACACCAGUGGCGAAGGCGACUAACUGGACUGAUACUGACGCUGAGAUGCGAAAGCGUGGGGAGCAAACAGGAUUAGAUA